rnacentral:rRNA from 1 species
AAGCCUGGGAAACUGGGUCUAAUACCGGAUACGACCAGGGGAUGCAUGUCCUUUGGUGGAAAGGUUUACUGGUGCGAGAUGGGCCCGCGGCCUAUCAGCUUGUUGGUGGGGUAACGGCCUACCAAGGCGACGACGGGUAGCCGACCUGAGAGGGUGACCGGCCACACUGGGACUGAGACACGGCCCAGACUCCUACGGGAGGCAGCAGUGGGGAAUAUUGCACAAUGGGCGAAAGCCUGAUGCAGCGACGCCGCGUGAGGGAUGACGGCCUUCGGGUUGUAAACCUCUUUUGACAGGGACGAAGCGCAAGUGACGGUACCUGUAGAAGAAGCACCGGCCAACUACGUGCCAGCAGCCGCGGUAAUACGUAGGGUGCGAGCGUUGUCCGGAAUUACUGGGCGUAAAGAGCUUGUAGGCGGUCUGUCACGUCUUCUGUGAAAACUUGGGGCUCAACCUUAAGCUUGCAGGGGAUACGGGCAGACUAGAGUACUUCAGGGGAGACUGGAAUUCCUGGUGUAGCGGUGAAAUGCGCAGAUAUCAGGAGGAACACCGGUGGCGAAGGCGGGUCUCUGGGAAGUAACUGACGCUGAGAAGCGAAAGCGUGGGUAGCGAACAGGAUUAGAUACCCUGGUAGUCCACGCCGUAAACGGUGGGUACUAGGUGUGGGUUUCCUUCCACGGGAUCCGUGCCGUAGCUAACGCAUUAAGUACCCCGCCUGGGGAGUACGGCCGCAAGGCUAAAACUCAAAGGAAUUGACGGGGGCCCGCACAAGCGGCGGAGCAUGUGGAUUAAUUCGAUGCAACGCGAAGAACCUUACCUGGGUUUGACAUACACCGGAAAGCCAUAGAGAUAUGGCCCCCCUUGUGGUCGGUGUACAGGUGGUGCAUGGCUGUCGUCAGCUCGUGUCGUGAGAUGUUGGGUUAAGUCCCGCAACGAGCGCAACCCUUAUCUUAUGUUGCCAGCGCGUAAUGGCGGGGACUCGUGAGAGACUGCCGGGGUCAACUCGGAGGAAGGUGGGGACGACGUCAAGUCAUCAUGCCCCUUAUGUCCAGGGCUUCACACAUGCUACAAUGGCCGGUACAGAGGGCUGCGAUACCGCGAGGUGGAGCGAAUCCCUUAAAGCCGGUCUCAGUUCGGAUCGGGGUCUGCAACUCGACCCCGUGAAGUUGGAGUCGCUAGUAAUCGCAGAUCAGCAACGCUGCGGUGAAUACGU